rfam:Triticum aestivum genome assembly, contig: Triticum_aestivum_CS42_TGACv1_scaffold_158679_2DL
CAUCUAUUCCCUCUGUCCGGAAAUACUUGUUAUGAAAAUGGAUAGAAGGGGAUGUAUCUAGAUGUAUUUUAGUUCUAGAUACAUCUCAUUUUAUCCAUUUUGAUGGCAACUAUUUUUGGAUGGAGGGAGUAUAUG